UGAUUCAUGUCAUCCCAAAUUGGGACUAUGGUUAGGAGCCCUGCUUUGUGAUCUUGUGCACUACCAUGACAUAUUGAUUUGAUUGGGGAUUUUGGCACCCUGCUGUGUGAUCUUGCGUGUUCCCCUUAUAAAUACUCCAAUCUUUGCAGCAAACUUGGAUUGGGGGCUUGGUCGCCGAGUCAAGGGUGGAUUCCAUAUAACCCGUGGAAUUACAGAUUGUAA
rnacentral:lncRNA from 1 species